UAGUAACCAUUUUAUGCGUUGUACCGUUUUAUUUAAACUUCAACCUUAUGAUUGAGGACGGAUAGCUGCAUUCACAUUAUGAUGUCAAUGAAUUCAAUGCUCUCUUAAAUAACUUAACACAGGUAAACCGCGAGCUCGUCCAUUCGUCUAUAAAAAAAACACUAAUCAUAUUAUGCCGACUCCACCUAUUAAGAUUGCGAUCAAAAAGUAAAGAAGAUUCUGGGUCUUAUUCGGGCAUUGUAAUUCCAAAAAAGGAUUUGACAACUCGCUAAAAGUUCAGCUCCAAUUAGCGUCUGGCAUACGGUGAAAUGUAUUCAUAUUUGUAUAUCAUUUGCACAGCCUCAGUGUGUGACAAAAUUAUUUUUAGUUUAUCGUGACUGUGUUGUGUACAGUGUACCUAAGUGUUGAUUGAUUACAGAAACUUGUUGAAGAUAAUAUUUCCAUGACACUCGGUGCGUAAAGCAGUAAAGUGAAAUAAAUUUUACGAUUCGAUAUUUACUUCGAUACUUUCCGAAUUAUCUGAAGAUCCUCUUUGAGCUAAUACACAAAAGGAACCUUGAGGUGAUACGUUCACGAUAUCGUGUUUAAUACAUCCUGAUGCCACACAGUCUCCGGCGCGGCUUCACCACGAGUGUUUGGAGGGAUUGAAUGUCAAGUUCGUCGAGAGUUUGGGAUUUACUGAGGUCAACGAUGCAUCACCUGAAUAAUACAUGGGCAACAGUGCGUUUACCCGGGACGUCUGCUUCUGUAACGUACGUCGUACGGGAGCAUUGUCUUUUGCCCUCUUCUUAGGAACACCGACCGAACUAUAUGAAAUAAACAUGCUCCUCGUAAUGUUAUUCUCAUAACGACUGAAUAUCAUAUACCUCUGAACACCCUAAAAUUUAUUCUUAUCAUAAUUAUUAAUCAAACAUCGAGUGCUCUCUACACAUUAUUAUUUAGUUAAUUACUUUCAUAAUGUUAGAGUGUGUGUGUGUGUGUGUGAUUUAGUGACAAAACCUUCACUUAGCUCCCAUAGAUACAAUCAACUGAAUUGCUCGCCGGAUCGUCUUAAUAAGUCGCGAUUCCGAUCCAACGGUAGAUUCUGCGAAGCACUGCACUUGCUAAGGGCAGUCCUAGCACAUUCUCUCAGGUUGAGCCGCGUGAGCUCACCUACCAGUCACAGCAGUUGAAAUAGCCCCUUUGACUACCAACGAAUGUAUAGGGAAAAAAUUACAUCACCAGCUAGCAUAAUGUUAAAGCUAUGAUGUCUUAGUAAUGUAUACAUACACACAUACAUACAGUGUGUUUUUAUAAUGUUCAUAAUUCACACGCAACCCAUGAGGAAAAUGUUUGAAAAAUGUAUAGUGGAUAAAUAGCAAUUAAUAAUCAAUUAAAGCUUGAUCAGGUCUUCUGUUCUUAAUGGAUUGACACAGUUGAGUUUUGUCACGUACGCUGCUGGCAAAUUAACUAUCGAAAUUAACGCUAUCACCCCUUAAUGAGAGUAUCAAUAAUAAAAAUCACACUGGCCUUAAUGCCAUUCAGCAAUAAAUUAAAAACUUAUAGCCGCAAACAAAUUGAUGCCAUUAAAGUCAUUAUGUUUUGACGCGUUUCAGAAACUGACAAUUUCAUACUAAAUGUAACAAAUUAAUAAAAUCGGUAGUAAUUACUAACUUUGAUUAUUAAAACAAACGAAAAACUUAAGAAGGCAAGCAUGUGAGGUCUUUUUGACAUAAUAAUUUAAAAUUAACAUCAAAAGCCAUUGAAACGGGUUAAUAUGGAAAACUUCGAAUAAAAUUGAUGCUGUUGUUUUGUUGCAUAAACACUUCAGUGAUUAAGGUAGGGCACGUGCCACGCAGCUGCCUGCGCAGGUUGUACUCGAAGCCUACGUGACUUCAGACAGGGCUCGACGGCUACCUACUCAGCCCUAAUUGAUUGAUAUUUGAAAAUCGUUUUGAUGACCGAAUUCUCAACUACUUAUGAUAAAGCGUAGAUAUGUGUUUCAUAAUUAGUUCGAAAUUUUAUUUGUUAAUAGCAAUUAAAUAAACACAGUUGGUAUUACA